rnacentral:rRNA from 1 species
GUGGGGAAUCUUAGACAAUGGGCGCAAGCCUGAUCUUGCCAUGCCGCGUGAGCGAUGAAGGCCUUAGGGUUGUAAAGCUCUUUCGUGGGGGAAGAUAAUGACUGUACCCCAAGAAGAAGCCCCGGCUAACUCCGUGCCAGUAGCCGCGGUAAUACGGAGGGGGCUAGCGUUGUUCGGAAUUACUGGGCGUAAAGCGCACGUAGGCGGACUGGAAAGUCAGGAGUGAAAUCCCGGGGCUCAACCCCGGAACUGCCUUCAAAACUCCCAGUCUUGAGUUCGAGAGAGGUGAGUGGAAUUCCGAGUGUAGAGGUGAAAGUCGUAGAUAUUCGGAGGAACACCAGUGGCGAAGGCGGCUCACUGGCUCGAUACUGACGCUGAGGUGCGAAAGCGUGGGGAGCAAACAGGAUUAGAAACCCGGGUAGUCC